rnacentral:rRNA from 1 species
GACGUAGGGCGCGAGCGUUGUUCGGAUUUAUUGGGCGUAAAGAGCUCGUAGGCGGCUUGUCGCGUCGACUGUGAAAACCCGCGGCUCAACUGCGGGCCUGCAGCCGAUACGGGCAGGCUAGAGUUCGGUAGGGGAGACUGGAAUUCCUGGUGUAGCGGUGAAAUGCGCAGAUAUCAGGAGGAACACCGGUGGCGAAGGCGGGUCUCUAGUACGGUACUGACGCUGAGACGCGAAAGCGUGGGGAGCGAACAGG